UAGGGAAUCUUCGGCAAUGGGGGGAACCCUGACCGAGCAACGCCGCGUGAGUGAAGAAGGUUUUCGGAUCGUAAAGCUCUGUUGUUAAGGAAGAACGAGUGUGAGAAUGGAAAGUUCAUGCUGUGACGGUACUUAACCAGAAAGGGACGGCUAACUACGUGCCAGCAGCCGCGGUAAUACGUAGGUCCCGAGCGUUGUCCGGAUUUAUUGGGCGUAAAGCGAGCGCAGGCGGUUAGAAAAGUCUGAAGUGAAAGGCAGUGGCUCAACCAUUGUAGGCUUUAGAAACUGUUUAACUUGAGUGCAGAAGGGGAGGGUGGAAUUCCAUGUGUAGCGGUGAAAUGCGUAGAUAUAUGGAGGAACACCGGUGGCGAAAGCGGCUCUCUGGUCUGUAACUGACGCUGAGGCUCGAAAGCGUGGGGAGCGAACAGG
rnacentral:rRNA from 1 species